rnacentral:rRNA from 1 species
AUUGAACGCUGGCGGCAGGCCUAACACAUGCAAGUCGAGCGGAGCGGGGGACGGGUGAGUAAGGCCAAGGAAUGUGCCUGGUAGUGGGGGAUAAGGUCAGGAAACGGGCGCGAAUACCGAAAACUAUCAGAUGCGCAUAGGUCGGAUUAGCUAGAUGGUGGGGUAAGGGCCUACCGAGGCGACGAUCCGUAACUGGUCUGAGAGGAUGAUCAGCCACACUGGAACUGAGCCACGGUCCAGACUCCUACGGGAGGCAGCAGUGGGGAAUAUUGGACAAUGGGCGAAAGCCUGAUGCAGCCAUGCCGCGUGUAUGAAGAAGGCCUUCGGAUUGUAAAGCACUUUCAGCGGGGAGGCGUUACCAGCAGAAUAAGCACCGGCUAACUCCGUGCCAGCAGCCGCGGUAAUAC